rnacentral:rRNA from 1 species
CCCUUAGAUGUCCUGGGCCGCACGCGCGCUACACUGAACGGAUCAGCGCGUUUUCCCUUCCCGAGAGGGACGGGUAACCUGCUGAACCCCGUUCGUGGUAGGGAUCGGGGCUUGCAAUUAUUCCCCGUGAACCAGGAAUGCCCAGUAAGUGCAAGUCAUAAGCUUGCGUUGAUUACGUCCCUGCCCUUUGUACACACCGCCCGUCGCACCUACCGAUUGAAUGGUCCGGUGAAGCCUCCGGAUUGGCGCGCACCCCGGUGCCGCCGAGAAGUUGGCUAAACCUUACCAUUUAGAGGAAGGUGAAGUCGUAACA